rnacentral:rRNA from 1 species
AUUGAACGCUGGCGGCAGGCCUAACACAUGCAAGUCGAGCGGAUGAAGGGAGCUUGCUCCUGGAUUCAGCGGCGGACGGGUGAGUAAUGCCUAGGAAUCUGCCUGGUAGUGGGGGAUAACGUCCGGAAACGGGCGCUAAUACCGCAUACGUCCUGAGGGAGAAAGUGGGGGAUCUUCGGACCUCACGCUAUCAGAUGAGCCUAGGUCGGAUUAGCUAGUUGGUGGGGUAAAGGCCUACCAAGGCGACGAUCCGUAACUGGUCUGAGAGGAUGAUCAGUCAAACUGGAACUGGGAACAGGUCCCAAAUCCUAAGGGAGGGAGCAGUGGGGAAUAUUGGAAAAUGGGCGGAAGCCUGAUCCAGGCCUGCCGGGUGUGGGAAGAAGGUCUUCGGAUUUUAAAGCACUUUAAGUUGGGAGGAAGGGCAGUAAGUUAAAACCUUGCUGUUUUGACGUUACCAAAAGAAUAAGCCACGGCUAACUUCGUG